rnacentral:rRNA from 1 species
GGACUACCGGGGUAUCUAAUCCUGUUUGCUCCCCACGCUUUCGCGCCUCAGCGUCAGUUGUGGUCCAGUUGGCCGCCUUCGCCACCGGUGUUCUUCCCAAUAUCUACGAAUUUCACCUCUACACUGGGAAUUCCACCAACCUCUCCCACACUCUAGCCUCGAAGUAUCGAGCGCAAUUCCCGGGUUAAGCCCAGGCAUUUCACGCCCGACUAGCGAAGCCGCCUACGCGCCCUUUACGCCCAGUAAUUCCGAACAACGCUAGCCCCCUUCGUAUUACCGCGGCUGCUGGCAC